rnacentral:lncRNA from 1 species
UUAAAUUUGAAGCAGGAAGUAGUAAUUACUAGUCAUAACAAAUAAAUUUAGGUGUUCUGCUGCACUCACUCACAGUUUUGAUUUCCCAGAGAUUUCUAGCAAGUAUGAUGCAGAAGUCUCCAGACAACAACAGCAGAGCAGUAAAUUCUGUCUCAUAUCCUUUGAAACCAUAAUGGACAAGAGUAGAAUUCCACUGUGCCAGUCCCCUUGUUGAUUCAGUCUGCUUCCUUCUAUUAUUUAACAGGAAACCCCAGGACAAUCAACACAUGGAGAGCAAAUGCUCCUCUCCUUCCCCUCUCAUUUUUUACUUUUUCUCAUCACAGAAUGAACAGGAGAACAAAGUGGAAGGCACCAUGCCAGCUUUAAACAUUCUGAUACUUUUAUGGAUGUGUGACUGUGUUCUUCUUCAAGGUUCUGAGACCAUGGAAAAUGAAAACAUCACUCCUCUACCCAUGACUGGUCUAUUUAAAUCAGUGACUCCUACAGAAACAUCCCAGGAUGCAAAGACGGAAUUCUUAUCUGCACCUUCCCCUACAGAAGAGAAAUCGGCAGCACUAUCGGUAGCAGCAUCUGGUGUUAUCAGCUUCAUUGUCAUUUUGGUGGUGAUUGUGAUCAUCCUGGUCUGUGUGGUCAGCCUAAGAUUCAGGUGCCGUCACUGCAAAGAUGCAGAAGCAGAUAAACAGAAACCUCAACACCCAAUAGUAACUUACAGCUGCUCUGAUGCUGAAAAUGCAGCUGAUAUGAAGAAUGUCUUAUUGGUCUCCAUGAAGGACUUAAACACAAGCACUAGCGAAGAUGGUAUGAAACCAAUGGUCAGCUGUGAAGAAUGAGAAAACACUGUAAUACUG